rnacentral:ncRNA from 1 species
GCAGAGUAGGUUUUGAUGCGUUAAGUGACAGACGGACGGGAAGUUGCCUCUGUACGAAAAGCACUGUGUGCUUGCGGUAUCAUAACCGCAUUCCGCUGC